rnacentral:rRNA from 1 species
GACGAACGCUGGCGGCGUGCUUAACACAUGCAAGUCGAACGGAAAGGCCCUGCUUUUGUGGGGUGCUCGAGUGGCGAACGGGUGAGUAACACGUGAGUAACCUGCCCUUGACUUUGGGAUAACUUCAGGAAACUGGGGCUAAUACCGGAUAGGAGCUCCUGCUGCAUGGUGGGGGUUGGAAAGUUUCGGCGGUUGGGGAUGGACUCGCGGCUUAUCAGCUUGUUGGUGGGGUAGUGGCUUACCAAGGCUUUGACGGGUAGCCGGCCUGAGAGGGUGACCGGCCACAUUGGGACUGAGGUACGGCCCAGAGUCCUACGGGAGGCAGCAGUGGGGAAUAUUGCACAAUGGGCGGAAGCCUGAUGCAGAAACGCCGCGUGCGGGAUGACGGCCUUCGGGUUGUAAACCGCUUUCGCCUGUGACGAAGCGUGAGUGACGGUAAUGGGUAAAGAAGCACCGGCUAACUACGUG